GUAAUAUUAGUAUAAGUUUUUUUUUAUUAUUUUUAAUUUUCGAUUAAAAGAUGUUAUA
rnacentral:tRNA from 1 species